AUCAUACGAGACCGAAACCGCUUUGUCUCGCACCACCACCAUACACAGAACUAUCUACAAACGGCAAGGGAUGCAAUGGUUGCCGACGAGAGACGCUAACCUUUACCGUAGGUGUUUUACCAUAACGUCCGGGAGACAGACGACAAGCUCUGCUUAUUUAUCGUUGGCGAGACGGUUGAUGCGAGCCCGUCUCUUCUAUCGGAAUCUCACCGUACAAAAAAAAAACCGGGCCGGGUACUUCACGACACUUUCCGGGAGACGUCGGGAGAAUCUCCGGGUUCAUCAUUGAGGACAUCCGCGGUGCUCAAAACAGCAGGCUGACGACUUGGCCUUUCCCAGGCAUUUGACAAGGAACUCUGACAGCAGAAGUCGUAACUGCAGAAUCAGUGACCAGGAGGGUGACACGACAGGCAGCAAAGCCUAAAUCAUCUAGAAAUCCUGCAAGAUAUCCCCCACAAGCAAAAUUCAUGUCUGGACGCACUAAGGGAGGAGCUGGAUAAGGGAGGUGCCAGGCAGCAGCGUCACUGAAGGUGUUUCUCGACAUCAGCACAUCACCAAGCCAAGGAGGCACCAAGCCCAACACGAACUCUGACAGCAGAAGUCGUAACUGCAGAAUCAGUGAACAGUUCUGAAACACGGUUGGACCUGCGCUGGGGGGAGAAGGAGUACUGCGUGUGACAGGAGGGUGACACGACAGGCAGCAAAGCCUAAUUCACCUAGAAAUCCUGCAAGAUAUCCCCCACAAGCAAAAUUCAUGUCUGGACGCACUAAGGGAGGAGCUGGAUAAGGGAGGUGCCAGGCAGAAGCGUCACUGAAGGUGUUUCUCGACAUCAGCACAUCACCAAGCCAAUGAGGCACCAAGCCCAACACUAGAAAGUCGCCGGGAAGGAGACAUCUCUCAGCAACUGCCAUUAUCAACCACACAAUCCACAGCCAGAAGGCCGGUGUUCGUGUGUACGCCAUACCAGAGGACCUGAAACUGUUAAGUUCUUACAUAUCUUACAAGGGUUUAGUAGUUUAUUUCGGAAUCAUCUUGCAGAAAUGGGCUGGGAUUGACUUGAUCUUGGCAUGAUAGGAAGUAAAUGAUCUGUGAUGUUACAUUCAUAACAUUCCCUUUGUCUAGCUGAGACAUUGUCAGCAGGACUGAUCAUAAUCUCCUGGUUUGUGGCAAGGUGCUCGAGUGUGUUUUGUUGACAUCCUGAGUGAUGUUGUUGGUAGGUGGCUAGGGCAUUUUGUGAGAGGGGGCUUCUUUUUCACACGGGACUUCAGCCCGUUUCUGUGGUGUACAGGCCCGGUGUGUGGCUGGUUUGGCUUCUGUGACUGUGUUAAUGGUUGGGAUUGUGUUCGGAGUUACUACGAAGUUCAGUCCUUUAGAAAGCAGGGAUUUCCUGGAUCUGUUGGUUUGUGACGACUUGAGUUCUUCUACCACCUGUCGUCUUUUCUGCCUUGUGUGAUGGUCUAGGGCCGGGAACCUACUAGUGGACCAUUACAUAAGAUGCCCUGUGUCGUAAUCUUGGCUCCCGAACCAAGACGACGGCACAGGGCCAGAAAGGAAGACAGGUGGUUGAUGAGCGCGAGUUGUUGUGAGCUGACAGGACCGGGAAGUCUCGGUUCUCUGAAGGACAGAACUUUGCAGUAACUUCGAAUACAGUCUCGGCCAUGGACAUGGUAACAGAAACCGAAUCGGCCAUACAUCGGGCCUGAAUACCGCAGGAACAGGCUGAAGCGCUGUGUGUAGAAGUAGCCACUGCUCUCAGAAUGUCCUAACCCUCCUACCAGCAGCAUUACUCGGGGUGUCAUCAAAAUGUACUCAACACCUUGCCGCUUAUCAAGAGACCAUGAUUCUCUCCGCUGAUAAUGCUUCAGGUAGACAGAGGGGAUGGGACAUUUCUAGGUUGAACCUGGAACUGAAACUAUAAUAAAAAAUCAAGUUACUAGUACUUCCUGCCAUGCCCCCAGCAGUCUGUAGAUGAAGUUCUUGUUUUCACAGAAUACAAAGUGUACAAUUUUAUAGCCAACAAGUAUGUUAUAUUCUAUAGAUACGCGUAGUUCAGCUUACUAAGAGUUACGUAUAGUCUUUCCAAUACUGCUGGGUAACAUUUCGUUUUUGUUUGAAACAUAAUUUUUGCUUUGCUUUUUGCUCUAAAUGUAUUGAUCACAUGCUCUUCUAGUGGAUAAGGAUGCUCACAAGCCAAUGUCAAACUUAUGAAUGUUUACAACAACUGUUCUGUUUUAGAAGACGGCAAUGUCCUCUGGUGUCUAUAUGGCGUACUGUAAGCACCGGUGCCUCUGAGCAAGUUACAUUGAUAUGUCGUUUUUUUUUUUUGGUUUGAAAAUGUCAAGUACAACCUGACCAACAUAUUGUACACUUUGUUUCCCCGAAUGUAUCAAGAAAUGUUAUUGAUUAAACGAUUUUAAACCAGG